AUUGAACGCUGGCGGCAGGCCUAACACAUGCAAGUCGAGCGGAUGAAGGGAGCUUGCUCCUGGAUUCAGCGGCGGACGGGUGAGUAAUGCCUAGGAAUCUGCCUGGUAGUGGGGGAUAACGUCCGGAAACGGGCGCUAAUACCGCAUACGUCCUGAGGGAGAAAGUGGGGGAUCUUCGGACCUCACGCUAUCAGAUGAGCCUAGGUCGGAUUAGCUAGUUGGUGGGGUAAAGGCCUACCAAGGCGACGAUCCGUAACUGGUCUGAGAGGAUGAUCAGUCACACUGGAACUGAGACACGGUCCAGACUCCUACGGGAGGCAGCAGUGGGGAAUAUUCGACAAUGGGCGAAAGCCUGAUCCAGCCAUGCCGCGUGUGUGAAGAAGGUCUUCGGAUUGUAAAGCACUUUAAGUUGGGAGGAAGGGAAGUAAGUUAAUACCUUCCUGUUUUGACGUUACCAACAGAAAAAGCACCGGCUAACUUCGUG
rnacentral:rRNA from 1 species